rnacentral:rRNA from 1 species
AAACAUGGUUUUUUGUUUAUAUAAAAAAUCUGGCCUGCUCAGUGAAUUUUAAAUAGCUGCAGUAUUUUGACUGUACAAAGGUAGCAUAAUCACUUGUCUUUUAAUUGAGGUCUGGAAUGAAUGGUUUGAUGAGAGAUAUACUUUAUUUAUUUUUUAAAAAAAAUUUAAUUUUUAAGUUAAAAAGCUUGGAAAUUUUUUUAUAGGACGAGAAGACCCUAUAGAGCUUUAUUUAUUUAUUUUUAUAUUUUUUUUGGAUUAUAUAUUUUUAAUAUGAUUAUAUAAAUUUUGUUGGGGUGAUAAAAAAAAUAUUAUAACUUUUUUUAAUUUUUACAUUAAUUUAUGUAUAUUUGAUCCUUUAUUUUGGAAAAAAGAAUAAGCUACCUUAGGGAUAACAGCGUUAUUAUUUCGGAGAGUUCUUAUUGAUGAAAUAGUUUGCGACCUCGAUGUUGGAUUAAAAUAAGAUAUAGAAGUAGAAUGUUAUAUUCUUGGUCUGUUCGACCUUUAAAUUUUUACAUGAUCU